UUUUUUAAAGGAAAUUAAUGUAAAACAUGUAAGGAACUAUAUCUUUUUUUUCUACGCAUUCACAAUUUGUUUUGAUCCGCCGUUAUCGACGUCUUGACAACGCCUAUUGUUGUACGACGUCAGAGAGUGAAAUAACCACGUUUUUUUCACAUGUUAAACUGUCGGUUUUUAUUUAACUGGUAAAUCAAUGCAAUACAUUGCAACCAAUGUAAUAAAUUCAUAUAAUUCUCCGAUAUUAAAUGUAUUUUUUACCCGCAAUAUUAUGUGUAGCCAGUCAAAUUUAAGUCAAGUCAAUUCAUAAGUUAAUGUAUACAUCGACUUUUUAAGGUUUUCGUCGACCUUUUAAGUUUAUCAUAGGAUUUUGAAGGUUCUCACGAAAGAUUCAUAAUCGUUGUUACUUUAUACGGACCUUGUAUGAAUAGUUUUAUACCAAUUGUCUGUGUGAAAAUUUUAGUUUUACAAAUACAAAACAUCAAGGUUUAUGUAAAUAUGAAUUAGAUAUCUUAUUUUUGUCAUUUAUUAAGUUUGAUUUCGCUGAGUCAAAACUUUAAAAUUAGCGGCUAAGUUUUCAAUCACCAUUUCUGUGACUGCAUUACUGUUUAUUCAUGACUUACAUAGAAAGAAUACAGGAUUUAUCUUAGCACAUUCUACUUAAAUGCAUAACUUGUCCAUUAGGGUUUACCUGUGUCUUGCGUUCAUUCUAAUUAUUCUAUAUAUCUAUCAAAUCCAUGUGAUCUAUAUCCUUUUUAUAUACUUUUAAUAGAUUAUUUCAAACCAGAAGCAAUACAGCUUUAAAUGUUUCGAUAUUUCUAAUAAGUCAGUUGGGUGGGUCCGAGAUUCAGUUUUAUCUGUUAUUUUCUCAGCUUUGUCAACACAACUAAGAAUUGAACUUAUGUGAAGCUAUAUGUGAAGCUAUAUGGACUGUAUUUGCUUUGCACUCUCAUCUUAGCAAUUAUAAAAGUUUCUGUAUUAUCCAAUUUUUUUAUAUCCUUGAACUUUUUAUUUUGCUAUUGGAUAAAGGACUUUCAGUUUUUAAUUUUCCUUUGAGUAAUGUAUUUUUGUUGUUUUGUUGUUUUGUUUUGUUUUUUUUUUUGUUUUAACUUUUCAGUGUUUUUAUCAUUAGUGAAUGCAAAAUGUUUGUAGAGAUAUGAAUAGAUAAACCUUCGACUUGCAUCAGUUAUCGGUAACGGUAAAAGGUAAGUUUAAUUUUUUUUUAAAUGCCUGACCUCUGAAAAGCUACUCAGAGGGAAUUUGACUAAUUUUGAAAAAAAAUGAGAUAGUAUUCCAUUGACAUCCUAUGCAAAAUUAUUUUACUACAUUUUUACUUUUAACAUUUGUUAAACUAUAAUUCAUAUGACAACACUUACUAAUUAGUAUUUUCGAUGGUCGCUUCAAAUCAGUAAUACACCGAUGGAAAUACAGCACAUAACAAGCCAUGAAAUAAUAGUCCUGUGACUUUAUUAGUAUUGUAAGAUUCAUUCCCUAAGUAAACUCUAGGGUUGAUAUUAUACUAUACUAUCGUAAUGUGUUAGUUUAGUUUGAGUACCAAGCACCACUUACAUGAAUUGUACGUCAUAGCGUAAGAUGGAAAUUAUCUACUUGUUAUAUCAAUAUAGGAGCACCAUUUAUGUUUUAAGCUAAGACCUUACUAGUCAAAAACUGGUUAGUUUGAAUACCGCGGAAGGGUUUGGUUUAAGUUACUCUAAGAACUGUGUUUAUGAAAAGGUGCAUUCAAUGAAAAAUUUAAAUGACUGAAUUCAUUUUACUUUAUUUUUGUGUGUACAUUUGUAUAUAUAAUGUAUAUUUUAUUUUAUUGCAUACCUUGCUUUUAAAAUGUUUAAAGAAUUGUAUAAAAAAAAAUAUUUUCUUUCGUUUACUGUUAUAAUUUUAAAUAAAAUUUGCUUUCGCUUAUUUUAAUAAUUUUUAUCUUGGAUAAGCAUUUUUGGGCAAAAUAUAUAAGUAACUUGAACGUUUGUAUGGAAGAUUAGGCAAUGCCAAAAUAAGUAGUUGCUUUUCGCUGCCUAUAUAGAAUAACAACUACCCUUUAGAGCUCAAACGACGAAAAAGUCAGUAAUUUAAGGUGUUUAUUCGGCCUCCAACAAUGAACAAAACUCAUACUGCUUAGAAUACAGUAGUGGUUCCGACAUAACAAAUGGUACCAAUGCAAAACAACUUACAAAAAAAAGGUUUCUGACUAAAGCUAG
rnacentral:lncRNA from 1 species